rnacentral:rRNA from 1 species
UACGGAGGUGGCUAGCGUUGUUCGGAAUUACUGGGCGUAAAGCGCACGUAGGCGGCUUUGUAAGUUAGAGGUGAAAGCCCGGGGCUCAACUCCGGAACUGCCUUUAAGACUGCAUCGCUAGAAUUGUGGAGAGGUGAGUGGAAUUCCGAGUGUAGAGGUGAAAUUCGUAGAUAUUCGGAAGAACACCAGUGGCGAAGGCGACUCACUGGACACAUAUUGACGCUGAGGUGCGAAAGCGUGGGGAGCGAUCCGG